UACGAAGGGGGCUAGCGUUGUUCGGAAUCACUGGGCGUAAAGCGCACGUAGGCGGAUGUGUCAGUCAGGGGUGAAAUCCCGGAGCUCAACUUCGGAACUGCCUUUGAUACAGCACGUCUUGAGUCCGGAAGAGGUGGGUGGAAUUCCUAGUGUAGAGGUGAAAUUCGUAGAUAUUAGGAAGAACACCGGUGGCGAAGGCGGCCCACUGGUCCGGUACUGACGCUGAGGUGCGAAAGCGUGGGGAGCAAACAGG
rnacentral:rRNA from 1 species